GAUGAACGCUGGCGGCGUGCCUAAUACAUGCAAGUCAAGCGAACAGACGAGGAGCUUGCUCCUUUGACGUUAGCGGCGGACGGGUGAGUAACACGUGGGUAACCUACCUAUAAGACUGGGAUAACUUCGGGAAACCGGAGCUAAUACCGGAUAAUAUUUCGAACCGCAUGGUUCGAUAGUGAAAGAUGGCUCUGCUAUCACUUAUAGAUGGACCUGCGCCGUAUUAGCUAGUUGGUAAGGUAACGGCUUACCAAGGCAACGAUACGUAGCCGACCUGAGAGGGUGAUCGGCCACACUGGAACUGAGACACGGUCCAGACUCCUACGGGAGGCAGCAGUAGGGAAUCUUCCGCAAUGGGCGAAAGCCUGACGGAGCAACGCCGCGUGAGUGAUGAAGGUCUUCGGAUCGUAAAACUCUGUUAUUAGGGAAGAACAAACGUGUAAGUAACUGUGCACGUCUUGACGGUACCUAAUCAGAAAGCCACGGCUAACUACGUG
rnacentral:rRNA from 1 species